rnacentral:rRNA from 1 species
GACGAACGCUGGCGGCGUGCCUAAUACAUGCAAGUUGAGCGCUGAAGGUUGGUACUUGUACCAACUGGAUGAGCAGCGAACGGGUGAGUAACGCGUGGGGAAUCUGCCUUUGAGCGGGGGACAACAUUUGGAAACGAAUGCUAAUACCGCAUAAAAACUUUAAACACAAGUUUUAAGUUUGAAAGAUGCAAUUGCAUCACUCAAAGAUGAUCCCGCGUUGUAUUAGCUAGUUGGUGAGGUAAAGGCUCACCAAGGCGAUGAUACAUAGCCGACCUGAGAGGGUGAUCGGCCACAUUGGGACUGAGACACGGCCCAAACUCCUACGGGAGGCAGCAGUAGGGAAUCUUCGGCAAUGGACGAAAGGCUGACCGAGCAACGCCGCGGGAGUGAAGAAGGUUGUCGGAUCGUAAAACUCUGUUGGUAGAGAAGAACGUUGGUGAGAGUGGAAAGCUCAUCAAGUGACGGUAACUACCCAGAAAGGGACGGCUAACUACGUG